rnacentral:rRNA from 1 species
GUGUCAGCAGCCGCGGUAAUACGAAGGGGGCUAGCGUUGUUCGGAUUUACUGGGCGUAAAGCGCACGUAGGCGGAUUGUUAAGUUAGGGGUGAAAUCCUGGAGCUCAACUCCAGAACUGCCUCUAAUACUGGCAAUCUAGAGUCCGGAAGAGGUGAGUGGAACUCCUAGUGUAGAGGUGGAAUUCGUAGAUAUUAGGAAGAACACCAGUGGCGAAGGCGGCUCACUGGUCCGGUACUGACGCUGAGGUGCGAAAGCGUGGGGAGCAAACAGGAUUAGAUACCCUCGUAGUCC